rnacentral:lncRNA from 1 species
UUUUGAGUGUGAGCACUCUGGCCACCCACGUGUGAAUAGCAUGCCUCUCUCUCAGCCUUCUGUCACUUGUGCAUGCUUCGUUCUCAGGCUUUCGUCCCCAGCUGGCAUGGGAGACGGAUGAAAACAUGGAUAACGAUGCUCUGAUAUGACGUUGGGUGAUGGUGGAGAGAUGCCCAGAGGACAAGGGGAGCACAGAGGAACAAGGCCUGGAGAAAACUGCUAGGGCAGCCUGGGAGGAGGUCUUUACCUGGAUUUGCAUGCUAAGUAGUCGUCAGCUCAACUUGGAAUGUGGAAAAGUCACAGGGUAUGAGAUAAGGAUGGUCUGAUCAGGGGUUGACUAUCCACGCUGCUGAGACCCAGACUGUGGAGCUCCAACAAUAUUUGCUUUUGAAAGGCUUGAAGUCCGCGGACCCCGGCACUCUGGCAGCUGACCUAAUCUUACCCUGAUGAUGAGUGGAGUUCUGCCUGGAGGUGAAGAUUCGAACCAAAGCAAUAAUUGUUCUUUAGGUAAACCUCAGCGGUUAGCAACUCUCCAGUGCCCCACAAUGAUGAAUGGAGAGUUGGACCUCUCCGGUGCCAUUCCUAAGUUCGGUUUGCCUGCUUGUAAAAGAUGUGCUUUGCAAAGUGCUUUAUACAUAAUUAACUUAAAGCCAGAAUCUCAAAGAUGUCAAAACCACCCACUGAAGUAAAUUAUUUUCCAAGUGACAUAGACCUCAAAGAAGGAGAUUUGUUUUC